rnacentral:rRNA from 1 species
AAGCUGAGUAUCUUGUACUGAAUACAUAGGUGCAAGAGGCGAACCAGGGGAACUGAAACAUCUAAGUACCCUGAGGAAAAGAAAUCAACCGAGAUUCCCUUAGUAGUGGCGAGCGAACGGGGACCAGCCCUUAAGUUGAUUUGAGAUUAGUGGAACGCUCUGGAAAGUGCGGCCAUAGUGGGUGAUAGCCCCGUACACGAAAAUCUCUUAUCAAUGAAAUCGAGUAGGACGGAGCACGAGAAACUUUGUCUGAAUAUGGGGGGACCAUCCUCCAAGGCUAAAUACUACUGACUGACCGAUAGUGAACCAGUACCGUGAGGGAAAGGCGAAAAGAACCCCGGAGAGGGGAGUGAAAUAGAACCUGAAACCGUAUGCGUACAAGCAGUGGGAGCCUACUUUGUUAGGUGACUGCGUACCUUUUGUAUAAUGGGUCAGCGACUUAUAUUCAGUGGCGAGCUUAACCGAAUAGGGGAGGCGUAGCGAAAGCGAGUCUUAAUAGGGCGUUUAGUCGCUGGGUAUAGACCCGAAACCGGGCGAUCUAUCCAUGGGCAGGUUGAAGGUUAGGUAACACUGACUGGAGGACCGAACCGACUACCGUUGAAAAGUUAGCGGAUGACCUGUGGAUCGGAGUGAAAGGCUAAUCAAGCUCGGAGAUAGCUGGUUCUCCUCGAAAGCUAUUUAGGUAGCGCCUCAUGUAUCACUGUAGGGGGUAGAGCACUGUUUCGGCUAGGGGGUCAUCCCGACUUACCAAACCGAUGCAAACUCCGAAUACCUACAAGUGCCGAGCAUGGGAGACACACGGCGGGUGCUAACGUCCGUCGUGAAAAGGGAAACAACCCAGACCGUCAGCUAAGGUCCCAAAGUCAUGGUUAAGUGGGAAACGAUGUGGGAAGGCUUAGACAGCUAGGAGGUUGGCUUAGAAGCAGCCACCCUUUAAAGAAAGCGUAAUAGCUCACUAGUCGAGUCGGCCUGCGCGGAAGAUGUAACGGGGCUCAAACCAUGCACCGAAGCUACGGGUAUCA